AUCAACCGAGAUUCCCCCAGUAGCGGCGAGCGAACGGGGAGGAGCCCAGAGCCUGAAUCAGCAUGUGUGUUAGUGGAAGCGUCUGGAAAGGCGCGCGAUACAGGGUGACAGCCCCGUACACAAAAGCGCAUGUGCUGUGAGCUCGAUGAGUAGGGCGGGACACGUGGUAUCCUGUCUGAAUAUGGGGGGACCAUCCUCCAAGGCUAAAUACUCCUGACUGACCGAUAGUGAACCAGUACCGUGAGGGAAAGGCGAAAAGAACCCCGGCGAGGGGAGUGAAAAAGAACCUGAAACCGUGUACGUACAAGCAGUGGGAGCACAGGUUUACCUGUGUGACUGCGUACCUUUUGUAUAAUGGGUCAGCGACUUAUAUUCUGUAGCAAGGUUAACCGUAUAGGGGAGCCGGAGGGAAACCGAGUCUUAACCGGGCGUUAAGUUGCAGGGUAUAGACCCGAAACCCGGUGAUCUAGCCAUGGGCAGGUUGAAGGUUGGGUAACACUAACUGGAGGACCGAACCGACUAAUGUUGAAAAAUUAGCGGAUGACCUGUGGCUGGGGGUGAAAGGCCAAUCAAACCGGGAGAUAGCUGGUUCUCCCCGAAAGCUAUUUAGGUAGCGCCUCGUGAAUUCAUCUCCGGGGGUAGAGCACUGUUUCGGCUAGGGGGCCAUCCCGGCUUACCAACCCGAUGCAAACUGCGAAUACCGGAGAAUGUUAUCACGGGAGACACACGGCGGGUGCUAACGUCCGUCGUGAAGAGGGAAACAACCCAGACCGCCAGCUAAGGUCCCAAAGUCAUGGUUAAGUGGGAAACGAUGUGGGAAGGCCCAGACAGCCAGGAUGUUGGCUUAGAAGCAGCCAUCAUUUAAAGAAAGCGUAAUAGCUCACUGGUCGAGUCGGCCUGCGCGGAAGAUGUAACGGGGCUAAACCAUGCACCGAAGCUGCGGCAGCGACACUCAGGUGUUGUUGGGUAGGGGAGCGUUCUGUAAGCCUGUGAAGGUGGCCUGUGAGGGUUGCUGGAGGUAUCAGAAGUGCGAAUGCUGACAUAAGUAACGAUAAAGCGGGUGAAAAGCCCGCUCGCCGGAAGACCAAGGGUUCCUGUCCAACGUUAAUCGGGGCAGGGUGAGUCGACCCCUAAGGCGAGGCCGAAAGGCGUAGUCGAUGGGAAACGGGUUAAUAUUCCCGUACU
rnacentral:rRNA from 1 species